UCAUUGCUUGCGGUCGUCGCCUCGCUUAAAAUAUUAAAUAAGACUAGUAAAAUGCAAGAAAUCCAUAAAAUAUUCAACAGAUCUGAUGUGAAACUUUCGGGCAUUAUAUUAUGCCUGAAACCUGGAAUUCAGCAAGCAGCAAUAAGUUGAAAUGAUUGAAAAUUAAUGGGAUAACCAAACUCCACGUGUUGCAAGUGAGACACUUGGGGACAGGCUAAAAUGUUUCCACAUUUCUAAGAUUGAAAACGAUCAUCUAGGAGAUGAGAAAUCCUGCUCUUUCUUGUCACAACUUGGCUCCGCUUUAAGACAACUCUUUGUGCUGGAGUAAUUCUUUACAAAGCAUCGGACUAGGUUAAGACAGACGAAAAUUGUUUUAACUGUGUGCUUAUCUACUACCAAAAGGCAACUCUUUGCGCUGGAGUAAUUCUUUAUAAAGCAUCGGACUGGGAUAAGACGGACGAAAAUUGUUUUAACUGUGUGCCUAUCUAUGAUUGGAACUACCAAAAGGUAAUUUAAUUCCUCGAAUAAUUAAAAUUAAAAUAAAAUCCUUAAACUGAUGACAUCUAUCAUACCCAAAAACAGAGAAAUUUAUGUUGAAAUCUAUUUAACAUGCAUCACCAUCUGACUUGAAACACAAGAUUAACUAUGCCUAGGUUUGAAAACAUCUUAA